CCCUCCCGGCCACGCCCGGACGCGCUCCCUGCGGACGCGCUCGGCUGUGCGUCUCCUCGGUUUCUCUCGCGGCUCACUGGACCGUCCGUCUCCUGAGGCUCAGGUCUCCCUCCAGCGCCCCCGCCCACUCAGGCUCCAUCUCUUCCUGCGUCUCUCGGCCUCUUGCCAUCCCUCUGCCGGUGACUCUGCCCCUGGAAAAGGUGGACCCCGAGCACCUCCUGACAAGGCAAAGGAAAGGCAGCCAGAUAGCCUGGAGUGACUGGCAGAAUGCACGCUCGAGGUCAGCUGGAUGGAUGAGGAGUGAACCAAUGAGCAGACGCAAGGAGAACCAACACAGCACAGACAGGAGAGGGUGACAAGCACCACCCCGCCACCUCCAGCUAUGGGAGAUGA
rnacentral:lncRNA from 1 species